rnacentral:rRNA from 1 species
CCUACGGGAGGCAGCAGUGGGGAAUUUUGGACAAUGGGCGCAAGCCUGAUCCAGCAAUGCCGCGUGAGUGAAGAAGGCCUUCGGGUUGUAAAGCUCUUUUGUCAGGGAAGAAACGGCUGAGGUUAAUACCUUUGGCUAAUGACGGUACCUGAAGAAUAAGCACCGGCUAACUACGUGCCAGCAGCCGCGGUAAUACGUAGGGUGCAAGCGUUAAUCGGAAUUACUGGGCGUAAAGCGUGCGCAGGCGGUUUUGUAAGUCUGACGUGAAAUCCCCGGGCUCAACCUGGGAAUUGCGUUGGAGACUGCAAGGCUGGAGUCUGGCAGAGGGGGGUAGAAUUCCACGUGUAGCAGUGAAAUGCGUAGAGAUGUGGAGGAACACCGAUGGCGAAGGCAGCCCCCUGGGUCAAGACUGACGCUCAUGCACGAAAGCGUGGGGAGCAAACAGGAUUAGAUACCCUGGUAGUCCACGCCCUAAACGAUGUCUACUAGUUGUCGGGUCUUAAUUGACUUGGUAACGCAGCUAACGCGUGAAGUAGACCGCCUGGGGAGUACGGUCGCAAGNUUAAAACUCAAAUUGAAUUGACCGGNNGAGAGNGCGAGACGACGACGAGGGAGGAGG